rnacentral:rRNA from 1 species
GACGAACGCUGGCGGCGUGCUUAACACAUGCAAGUCGAACGGAAAGGCCCUGCUUUUGUGGGGUGCUCGAGUGGCGAACGGGUGAGUAACACGUGAGUAACCUGCCCUUGACUUUGGGAUAACUUCAGGAAACUGGGGCUAAUACCGGAUAGGAGCUCCUGCUGCAUGGUGGGGGUUGGAAAGUUUCGGCGGUUGGGGAUGGACUCGCGGCUUAUCAGCUUGUUGGUGGGGUAGUGGCUUACCAAGGCUUUGACGGAUAGCCGACCUGAGCGGGUGACCGGCCACAUUAGGACUGAGAAACGGCCCAGACUGCUACGGGAGGCAGUAGUGGGGAAUAUUGCACAAUGGGCGGAAGCCAGAUGCAACAACGCCGCGUGCGGGAUGCGGGCCUUCGGGUUGUAAACCGAUUUGGCCUGUGACGAAGCGUGAGUGACGGUAAUGAAUAAAAAAGCACCGGCUAACUACGUG